rnacentral:rRNA from 1 species
UACGUAGGGUGCAAGCGUUGUCCGGAAUUAUUGGGCGUAAAGAGCUCGUAGGCGGUUUGUCGCGUCUGCUGUGAAAUCUGGGGGCUCAACCCCCAGCCUGCAGUGGGUACGGGCAGACUAGAGUGCGGUAGGGGAGAUUGGAAUUCCGUGGUGUGAGCGGAUGAAGCGCAGAUAUCGGGAAGAACACCCGUGGCGAAGGCGGUCUCUGGACGGUACUGGACGCUGAGACGCGAAAGCGUGGGGAGCAACAGG